rnacentral:rRNA from 1 species
GACGAACGCUGGCGGCGUGCCUAAUACAUGCAAGUAGAACGCACAGUUUAUACCGUAGCUUGCUACACCAUAGACUGUGAGUUGCGAACGGGUGAGUAACGCGUAGGUAACCUGCCUGGUAGCGGGGGAUAACUAUUGGCAACGAUAGCUAAUACCGCAUAAUAUUGAUUAUUGCAUGAUAAUUAAUUGAAAGGUGCAAUUGCACCACUACCAGAUGGACCUGCGUUGUAUUAGCUAGUAGGUGAGGUAACGGCUCACCUAGGCGACGAUACAUAGCCGACCUGAGAGGGUGAUCGGCCACACUGGGACUGAGACACGGCCCAGACUCCUAAGGGACGCAGCAGUAGCGAAUCUUCGGCAAUGGACGAAAGUCUGACCGAGCAACGCCGCGUGAGUGAAGAAGGGUUUCGGAUCGUAAAGCUCUGUUGUAAGAGAAGAGCGGGUGUGAGAGUGGAAAGUUCACACUGUGACGGUAUCUUACCAGAAAGGGACGGCUAACUACGUG